UUUUGUUUUAUAAGUUACUUCAUACAAUAUAUUUUUUUUAUCAAAAUGGAAUCUUCACAUCAUAGCCAAAAUCGGGUUGCCCUAGUUUGUCCUCAUUGUUUGAAAGUGGACAAAAACCUGACAACCCAUCUACAGAGGAAAUGUAUGAGAUUCAGCUCAUCUGAGGAGAUAAAAAAUGUUGCUCAGACUGCCCGGAGACGCUUGUGGGACAUCGCUGAGAAGGCUUCCAUGUUUGAUUUCCACGAAAUCCAGAAGCUCAUCUCACCUGUUGAAUUCUCAUACUUUUUGGAAAGCAAAGAAUUCCUCAUAAUGAACUAACCCCGGGCUGUGAAGAUCAAUUGGGCCUCUUAAAAAAGGCUCAAGAUGAAGGAAGCUGGAAUAUACAAUCGGCAUCCAUUGAACGCCCCACUCCUGACAGCGUUCACACAUUUCCAUAUAUUGGGUGUCACUAGGUAGAAACAGGGGUGGAAGCUGUAGCUAGGUUCCUGUAUUUCAUGAAACCGCAAGAAGUGAACCUAGAAUUUGUGAAAAACCUACACAAAACCAACGAGUUUUUCACAAAACUGCAGGCGAUUGUCACGCACCAGACUGUGUUUAAUUAUUUAAAGCAUGUGUAGCGAUUUGUCACCUUUCAGAUCAACAACACAAACAUGGGCUCGACUGAUCCGUCCAUAUACACUGCCUGCAAUAACUUUAUGAAAGCCACGGACGCCCUCCAAAAAAGACUGAGUAAGGGAAUAUCACGGGAAGUUGUCAAGAAAAAAAGGAAUAUCACGUGACCUAUAUUAACAUUUCCUUUCAGCCCUCUGCUUUUUUAGAAGCAUUAUAAGUAACUUUUUCUUUGAUUAUUGUCAAGUACAAUUCCUUAACCGGUACAAUGAAAACACCGGAAGGAUGACACCAUCUUUUGCACAUAGCAAAAGACACAUUCCUUAAAGCCAUUGAUGCAGCUAAAAAGGACAAAAUGAUCAAGUUAAGUUUGAGAUCUCGCAUUAUCUUGAGGCGUUGCUGGUGCUGAAACACUUGCAGAGACCGGGGGUGGUUCAGAAUAUGACAGUCAAUGAAUGGAAAUCAAGAAUUCGCCACAGAUACGUUAGUGGAAACAUUCAGAUCAAUUUAAACAUCAUUGGCGUGACAGAGCACAAAACAGCCACUCAACAAGUGGCUGCUUUCUCAUUGACAGAGGAGGAAGAAAUGGUUCAACAUACCAAAUGUGUCCUCCGAGAGGCACCUUUUUGCUAAAUAUUUGGCACAUUCCAACGCGACAGCAGAGCGGUCCUACCGAGAGAAAACACUGGAUGACAUAUGUCAUGCCUCCCUACUGGUCUCAGGAGCAGGUGCAAGCAGAAGACAUGACAACCAGACACCUCAAUGAAAUACACACAGCUUCUGUUUGUCUUUAAUUGUGUACCCAUACAUUUACACACAGAAACGUAACUUUUCUUUUUGAAGAAGUGUAGAAUCCCCAACCAGGGAUGAAGAACCUGCCAUUACAUCUUUCAAAAGUGAAUGCGACCCAGUGGACCACCAAGAGGAAAUCCAGUAUGCCUCCCCCUGCAAAAUCUGUCUCCUCUCUCUUUCUCUGUGGUGUCAAUCACUGUAUCCCUGGUGUUCCUUACUUUUCUCUCAAUUUCUUUCUUUCUUAACUUAACUUAGUGCUGCCUAUGGAGAACUGGAAGCUCACUGGCUGAUGCUGGGCUGUAGCCUACAAGAAUUGAAGAUAUUGUGGUUUCCACUUACAUGAUUUAAAAAGUUACUCCACCAUUAGAUUACGGCCCUUAAUUCCAUUGUGCCAAAUAUGCCUAUGAUUAAGGGAUUGUAUCCCGAAACGCGUAGGGCCGUUUGAUCCCUGCAUGUGCUUGCAAUAAAGCCUUUUUUCCCUCUUCAA